rnacentral:rRNA from 1 species
AGUCGAACGAAGCGCUUAAAUGGAUUUCUUCGGAUUGAAGUUUUUGUGACUGAGUGGCGGACGGGUGAGUAACGCGUGGGUAACCUGCCUCAUACAGGGGGAUAACAGUUAGAAAUGACUGCUAAUACCGCAUAAGCGCACAGUGCUGCAUGGCACAGUGUGAAAAACUCCGGUGGUAUGAGAUGGACCCGCGUCUGAUUAGCUGGUUGGUGGGGUAACGGCCUACCAAGGCGACGAUCAGUAGCCGGCCUGAGAGGGUGAACGGCCACAUUGGGACUGAGACACGGCCCAAACUCCUACGGGAGGCAGCAGUGGGGAAUAUUGCACAAUGGGGGAAACCCUGAUGCAGCGACGCCGCGUGAGCGAAGAAGUAUUUCGGUAUGUAAAGCUCUAUCAGCAGGGAAGAAAAUGACGGUACCUGACUAAGAAGCACCGGCUAAAUACGUGCCAGCAGCCGCGGUAAUACGUAUGGUGCAAGCGUUAUCCGGAUUUACUGGGUGUAAAGGGAGCGUAGACGGUUGUGUAAGUCUGAUGUGAAAGCCCGGGGCUCAACCCCGGGACUGCAUUGGAAACUAUGUAACUAGAGUGUCGGAGAGGUAAGCGGAAUUCCUAGUGUAGCGGUGAAAUGCGUAGAUAUUAGGAGGAACACCAGUGGCGAAGGCGGCUUACUGGACGAUCACUGACGUUGAGGCUCGAAGGCGUGGGGAGCAAACAGGAUUAGAUACCCUGGUAGUCCACGCCGUAAACGAUGACUACUAGGUGUCGGGGAGCAAAGCUCUUCGGUGCCGCAGCAAACGCA